GAUCUCGAAAAUAAAAGAGCUUAAACUAUUUAUUAGUUUUUGUGUCAAAAAAAUUAAUUAAUUAGUUUAAGGAAAGAAACUUCAUUCGGUUUUAUUAAUAUCUAAUAAUUUUCUAAAAAAAUUUAGUUUAUUUAUAUAAGAAUUAGCUUAUUUUAAUCUAUAAAUUAUUUUUUAAGGGAUGAGCUUUAAAAAAUUUUUAGAAACAUUAUAAAAAAUAAUUUUUAAUUAGGCUUAGAAUUGGUCACUAGAUAGUGUUAUAAAAUAAAGUUUUAAGAAAAAGAUUUAUUUUUGUUCUAUAAUUUAGAAAAUUUUUAUUUGUAACUUAAAAAAGUAAGAAAAUAUGAUAGUAUAAGUAGAGUAAAUUUUAAAAAUUUAGUAUAAAAAUUUUUUUAUAUUGGAAAAGGAACUCGGCAAAUUUGCAUUUUCGAAUGUUUAACAAAAACAUUUCUUUUAUAAUUUAAAAGUAAAACCUGCUCACUGAAAGUUUAAAGAGCCGCAGUAUAUUGACUGUGCUAAGGUAGCGUAAUAAUUUGUCUUUUAAUUGAAGACUAGUAUGAAUGGUUUAACGAGAAAUGAACUAUCUUUUUCAAUUAAUAUUGAAUUUAAUUUUUCAGUGAAAAAGCUGAAAUAUUUUGGAAAGACGAGAAGACCCUAUAGAGUUUUAUAUUUUAUUUUUCUUUUAUUAAUUAUUUUUCUAAAAUAAAAGAAUGAAAAAGUAUUUUGUUGGGGCGACAUAAAGAUAAAAAUAACUCUUAAUUUUAAAAACUUUUAUAAAAGGAAAUAUUGAUCCUAUAAAAUGGAUUAUAAGAGAAAAUUCCCUUAGGGAUAACAGCGUAAUCUUUUUUGAGAGUUCAAAUCGACAAAAAGGUUUGCGACCU
rnacentral:rRNA from 1 species